UACGGAGGGGGCUAACGUUGUUCGGAAUUACUGGGCGUAAAGCGCACGUAGGCGGCUUUGUAAGUUAGAGGUGAAAGCCCAGGGCUCAACCCUGGAAUUGCCUUUAAGACUGCAUCGCUUGAACAUCGGAGAGGUAAGUGGAAUUCCGAGUGUAGAGGUGAAAUUCGUAGAUAUUCGGAAGAACACCAGUGGCGAAGGCGACUUCCUGGCCUGUUCUUGACGCUGAGGCGCGAAAGCUAGGGGAGCAAACGGG
rnacentral:rRNA from 1 species